rnacentral:lncRNA from 1 species
CUGGGCUAGGAGGCAGUGAUUCACUGGAAAGAUCAGAGCCUGUCUGAGAAACAGGGCAGUAAACAGAAAGCUCAGUGAUGUAUGAGUGCUGAAGACUUUUUUGUUAAGAUGCACAGGAGGAAGACAGAGAAUCUAGGAAGGUGCCAGGGAUGAUUUCUCAUCCCAAAGCCCUGGGAGAAAUCCCAUCUCUGGGCAAGAAGAGAAUCUGAACGCAAAUGGAUGAAGAUGCUAAUGAGGCUCAGAUGAUGAGAGCACACUAGGCUCACAGCAUGCUGACAAAUCCAGAAACAGGCUAUGCUUCCCUCCCGCCUUCCUAAGACUUCAGCUAAGACACUGCACAUGCCCGUCCCUCUGCAGGAAGGCCAUCCACAGUUAUAUCUUGCUUUAAAAAAGCAAAACUUUGAAAAAUAAAAU